rnacentral:rRNA from 1 species
AAACAUCUCAGUAGCGGCAGGAAGAGAAAAUAAAGAAUGAUUCCCUUAGUAGUGGCGAGCGAACGGGGAAGAGCCCAAACCAACAUUUGUUGUUGGGGUUAUAGGACUACAUUUUAGAGUUACAAAAUUUACAUAUAGCAGAAUAAGUUGGAAUGCUUAAACAUAGAGGGUGAAAUUCCCGUAAGCGAAAUGUGUAGAUCUCUUUGUAGUAUCCUGAGUAGGGCGGGGCACGUGAAACCCUGUCUGAAUUUGCCGGGACCACCCGGUAAGGCUAAAUACUAACCAGACACCGAUAGUGAACUAGUACCGUGAGGGAAAGGUGAAAAGAACCCCGGGAGGGGAGUGAAAUAGAUUCUGAAACCAAUUACUUACAGUUAGUCAGAGCCCGUUAAUGGGUGAUGGCGUACAUCUUGCAGAAUGGACCGGCGAGUUAUGUCAACAUGCGAGGUUAAGUGGAUUAAAGCGAAGCCGUAGAGAAAUCGAGUCUUAAUAGGGCGCUUAGUAUGUUGAUAUAGACCCGAAACCAGGUGAUCUACCCAUGAGCAGGUUGAAACUUAGGUAACACUAAGUGGAGGACCGAACCGUAGUACGCUAAAAAGUGCCCGGAUGACUUGUGGGUAGGGGUGAAAUUCCAAUCGAACUUGGAGAUAGCUGGUUCUCUCCGAAAUAGCUUUAGGGCUAGCGUGUAGUGUUAAGUGAUGGGGGUAGAGCACUGAAUAUGGAAUGGCGGCGCCUAGCUGUACUGACUAUAAUCAAACUCCGAAUACUAUCAUGAAUUGCUAUGCAGUCGGUACAUCGGUGAUAACGUCGAUGCACGCGAGGGGAACAACCCAGAUCGUCAGCUAAGGUCCCAAAAUUGUGUUAAGUGAGAAAGGUUGUGGAGUUUCUUAAACAGCUAGGAUGUUGGCUUAGAAGCAGCCAUCGUUUAAAGAGUGCGUAAUAGCUCACUAGUCGAGAGACUCUGUGCCGAUAAUUCAACGGGACUAAAACACAAUACCGAAGCUACGGGCAUGAAAAUGCGUUAGGAGAGCGUUGUAAGGGCAUUGAAGCCAGACUGUGAAGACUGGUGGAGCGCUUACAAGUGAGAAUGCCGGUAUGAGUAACGAUUCAGAGUGAGAAUCUCUGACGCCUAUUGGGGAAGGUUUCCUGGGCAAGGUUCGUCCACCCAGGGUUAGUCGGGUCCUAAGACGAGGCCGAAAGGCGUAGCCGAUGGACAACAGGUUAAUAUUCCUGUACUUUCUAUAAAUGUGAUGGAGUGACGGGGGAGGAUAGCACUACCACUUAUUGGAUUGUGGGGUAAAUAGUGACUGGGUUAUGUAGGCAAAUCCGCAUAACUUAACCGGGAGAUAUGAUGCAUAGUGAAAGGGCAACUAAGUAGCGAAUUGGAUGAUUCCAUACCUCUUAAAAAAGCUUCUAACAUAUAGUUUAUGGAAACCCGUACCGAGAACGGACACACGUCCCCAAGAUGAGUAUUCUAAGGCGAGCGAGAAAACCAAUGUCAAGGAACUCUGCAAAUUCAUCCCGUAAGUUCGCAAGAAGGGAUGCCCACCCUAAAAAGUGGGCCGCAGUGAAUAGUAAGGGGGAACUGUUUAUCAAAAACA